rnacentral:rRNA from 1 species
CCUACGGGGGGCAGCAGUGGGGAAUAUUGGGCAAUGGGCGCAAGCCUGACCCAGCAACGCCGCGUGAAGGAAGAAGGCUUUCGGGUUGUAAACUUCUUUUCUCAGGGACGAAGCAAGUGACGGUACCUGAGGAAUAAGCCACGGCUAACUACGUGCCAGCAGCCGCGGUAAUACGUAGGUGGCAAGCGUUAUCCGGAUUUACUGGGUGUAAAGGGCGUGUAGGCGGGACUGCAAGUCAGAUGUGAAAACCAUGGGCUCAACCUAUGGCCUGCAUUUGAAACUGUAGUUCUUGAGUACUGGAGAGGCAGACGGAAUUCCUAGUGUAGCGGUGAAAUGCGUAGAUAUUAGGAGGAACACCAGUGGCGAAGGCAGCUUUCCAAGCUAUUACUGACGCUGAGGCACGAAAGCGUGGGGAGCGAACAGGAUUAGAUACCCGUGUAGUC